UGCCAGCAGCCGCGGUAAUACGGAGGGGGUUAGCGUUGUUCGGAAUUACUGGGCGUAAAGCGCACGUAGGCGGAUUGGAAAGUAGGGGGUGAAGUCCCAGGGCUCAACCCUGGAACUGCCUCCAGAACUGCCAGUCUAGAGUUCGAGAGAGGUGAGUGGAACUCCAAGUGUAGAGGUGAAAUUCGUAGAUAUUUGGAGGAACACCAGUGGCGAAGGCGGCUCACUGGCUCGAUACUGACGCUGAGGUACGAAAGUGUGGGAGCAAACAGGAUUAGAUA
rnacentral:rRNA from 1 species